CCUACGGGUGGCUGCAGUGGGGAAUAUUGGACAAUGGGGGGAACCCUGAUCCAGCCAUGCCGCGUGUGUGAAGAAGGCCCUCGGGUUGUAAAGCACUUUCAGUGAGGAAGAACGCCUGGUGGUUAAUACCCUUCAGGAAAGACAUCACUCACAGAAGAAGCACCGGCUAACUCCGUGCCAGCAGCCGCGGUAAUACGGAGGGUGCGAGCGUUAAUCGGAAUUACUGGGUGUAAAGCGCGCGUAGGUGGCUUGAUAAGCCGGUUGUGAAAGCCCCGGGCUCAACCUGGGAACGGCAUCCGGAACUGGCAAGCUAGAGUGCCGGAGAGGAAGGUAGAAUUCCCGGUGUAGCGGUGAAAUGCGUAGAGAUCGGGAGGAAUACCAGUGGCGAAGGCGGCCUUCUGGACUGACACUGACACUGAGGUGCGAAAGCGUGGGUAGCAAACAGGAUUAGAUACCCCGGUAGUC
rnacentral:rRNA from 1 species